GUCUGGGAAACUGCCUGAUGGAGGGGGAUAACUACUGGAAACGGUAGCUAAUACCGCAUAAYGUCGCAAGACCAAAGUGGGGGACCUUCGGGCCUCAUGCCAUCAGAUGUGCCCAGAUGGGAUUAGCUAGUAGGUGGGGUAACGGCUCACCUAGGCGACGAUCCCUAGCUGGUCUGAGAGGAUGACCAGCCACACUGGAACUGAGACACGGUCCAGACUCCUACGGGAGGCAGCAGUGGGGAAUAUUGCACAAUGGGCGCAAGCCUGAUGCAGCCAUGCCGCGUGUGUGAAGAAGGCCUUCGGGUUGUAAAGCACUUUCAGCGGGGAGGAAGGCGGUGAGGUUAAUAACCUCAUCGAUUGACGUUACCCGCAGAAGAAGCACCGGCUAACUCCGUGCCAGCAGCCGCGGUAAUACGGAGGGUGCAAGCGUUWAUCGGAAUUACUGGGCGUAAAGCGCACGCAGGCGGUCUGUCAAGUCGGAUGUGAAAUCCCCGGGCUCAACCUGGGAACUGCAUUCGAAACUGGCAGGCUAGAGUCUUGUAGAGGGGGGUAGAAUUCCAGGUGUAGCGGUGAAAUGCGUAGAGAUCUGGAGGAAUACCGGUGGCGAAGGCGGCCCCCUGGACAAAGACU
rnacentral:rRNA from 1 species